rnacentral:rRNA from 1 species
GUCUACGGCCAUGCCGCCCUGAACACGCCCGAUCCCGUCUGAUCUCGGAAGCUAAGCAGGGUUGGGCCUGGUUAGUACUUGGAUGGGAGACCACCUAGGAAGACCGGGUGCUGUAGGUG